rnacentral:rRNA from 1 species
ACGUGAGAGAAUGGUUACCGCGGCUGCUGGCACGGAGUUAGCCGGUGCUUCUUCUGUGAGUGAUGUCCUUCCUGCCGGUUAUUGACCCGCAGGCCUUCUUCCUCACUGAAAGUGCUUUACAACCCGAAGGCCUUCUUCACACACGCGGCAUGGCUGGAUCAGGGUUGCCCCCAUUGUCCAAUAUUCCCCACUGCUGCCUCCCGUAGGAGUCUGGGCCGUGUCUCAGUCCCAGUGUGGCUGAUCAUCCUCUCAGACCAGCUACGGAUCGUCGCCUUGGUGAGCCGUUACCUCACCAACCAGCUAAUCCGACAUAGGCUCAUCCGAUAGCGCGAGGCCCGAAGGUCCCCCGCUUUCCCCCGUAGGGCGUAUGCGGUAUUAGCCUGGGUUUCCCCAGGUUAUCCCCCACUACCGGGCAGAUUCCUAUGCAUUACUCACCCGUCCGCCGCUCGCCACCAGGGAGCAAGCUCCCCGUGCUGCCGCUCGACUUGCAUGUGUUAGGCCUGCCGCCAGCGUUCAAUCU